rnacentral:rRNA from 1 species
GGAGGGUGCAAGCGUUACUCGGAAUCACUGGGCGUAAAGGGUGCGUAGGCUGACUUUUAAGUCAGGCGUGAAAUCCAAUGGCUUAACCAUUGAACUGCGCUUGAAACUGGGAGUCUAGAGUUCAGAAGGGGCAGAUGGAAUUAGUGGUGUAGGGGUAAAAUCCGUAGAUAUCACUAGGAAUAUCAAAAGCGAAGGCGAUCUGCUGGGAUGAUACUGACGCUGAGGCACGAAAGCGUGGGGAGCAAACAGGAUUAGAUACCCUGGUAGUCCACGCCCUAAACGAUGAAUGCUAGUCGUCGGGGAGCUCGUCUCUUCGGUGAUGCACUUAACAGAUUAAGCAUUCCGCCUGGGGAGUACGGUCGCAAGAUUA